UGUUUGGACACUGGAUGGGAGCCCGAGCCUAUGAGAAGGAUCUGGACUGGAGAGAGCAUCCUGAUCCGAAACUAGUAGUAGUAGUAGUAGUAUUAGUAGGCGGCAGCAGCUCCUCGCAACAAGAAAAACGAUUCCUUCAUUCUUCUUCUACUCUAUCUUCCUUCCUUCCUUUCCUCUCAGUUGCCGAUUCUUCUUCUAGGUCAGGCUCAAACUCGAUACUCUUUCUUUAUAAGUACUAGUAUUACUAGUCUAGUAAUCUGCCAGUUAUGGAUGUAUCAUCAGUAUCCUCUUACUAUUAUCGCUCAUCCCCUUUUCUUCGCCUUUCUGAUGUAAUGAUUCCUAACACAAUGCUUCCUUUAUUACUUUCCAAACCUAAUAAAUCUCUUACCCAUGUCGAGAGAUUUAUUACUACUUUCUUCUCCUAAUCCAAGUAUUUCCUCAUCGUUACAGAGUUCACAAAAUGUACCUAGUUUAAGUUGUGAUAGCAGCAGCAUUAGUACCAACGAUGUGCUUUCUUUCACAAAUGAUGAUACAAUCAAUUCUUGUGGGUUAUCCGACCAAUUUCGUGUUCUAUGUAAGUCCUCUGAGAUGCCGAAUGCAGUCUUGAAACUUCUGAGUGACUAUGGUUUUUCACAAACCCAAGUCGAAACCAUAGUUUCCAAUUACCCCAGAAUUCUCUUCUGCAAAGUUGAGAAAACCCUCAAGCCCAAGAUUGAUCUCCUUCGUUCGGUUGGCUUAUCUGAAACUGAAUUCCUUGGUGUGGUCACCACCUGCCCUCUGUUAUUUUCACGAAGCUUAAAGAAUCACCUUGUCCCAAUAGUUGAGUUUCUUGUAACUUCGUUUGGUUCUCAAGAUGAUGCAGUUUUUGUAAUUAAAAAGUACCCAUUUAUUCUGUUCAACACCUCAAAAAAUGUGGUGCCUAAUCUGUCAACAUUGCGAAAUCUUGGCAUCCCCCAAUCCCAGAUUUCAAAUAUGAUGGCUAAUAUAAUAGGUGGCUUUGUAAUAGCAUGCACAAAACCAUGCAGGUUUAGCAAGGUUGUGUCCACUGCAAUGGAAAUGGGUUUCAAGCCCUUUGUCAACGGCAUUUAAAAAUGCUGUCAGUGCAAUGUUAUUCUGCUCUCGAUUGACUUGGGAGGAGAAACUUGCGUUUUACAGAACCUUGGGGUUUUCCAAUGAGGAGACCCUUAAUAUCUUCAUGUUCAACCCCUCUUUGAUAUCCCGGUCAGAGGAGGUGAUAAGAGGCACGAUGGAGUUCUACGUCAAUAAGUUUCAUUGGAGCCCAUCACAGUUGUCAAGGAGGGCUGCAGUAUUUAGUUAUAAUUUGGAGAAGAGGAUCAUCCCAAGGUGUUCAGUUGUGCAAGUUUUGUUGUCAAGAAACAAGAUUCAUGAAAAUGUGAAGUUGUUAACAGUUUUGAACUGUGGAGAGAACGAAUUCUUGCGGAGGUAUGUGAUUAAGUACGAGGAUGAGACUCCUGAAGUGUUGGACGCGUACCAAGGUAAGAUGAAAAUCUGCUGAAUGUGACUUAUAUUGGGAGGAACUGAGCAGGCUACCGUUUAAAAUUAUACUGUAGCUCAGAACGUAAGGGGAGCAGUUGAGCUCUAUGUAAAGGAAGUUUCAUUGGUGCCAAUUGGAGUAGUCAAAAGAGGAGCUUUGGGACAACGGGUUUGGCUUUGCAAGUUUUACAGUGCAGAAACCGGAUUUAAGAUUCUGACUGUAACCUCAAUUGCGAAGACCGGAUAGAGCAAUUCCUUGGUGAGGUACAUGAAUAAGUACGCGCGCAGGUUAGUUUCCUGAAGUGUUAAAAUGGUUACCAAGGUAAGACGAAAUCUGAUGAAUGCAACUUUGAUUCUAAGAAAAUGAGGACUGCUUUUAUCUUCGCUUUCUGCCUUACGCUUUGUGGUUACCAUUUUCAUCUAUGCAUAUUCUUUUAUGAGUAUAGUGUACUAGCUUUGGUGCCUCAGAUUGAGACACUAAAACAUUUCUGUCAAUUAGUACGUAUCUAUUUAUAUGUGCUUUUGGUGUGAAGUUAUUCACGGGAAGAGCUAGCCAGGUAUAACAUAUGGGAUUACUGGUUUAUGUGAAAAGCAAAAUGAUUACCCUCGUUGCGUCGCAAUGGUGAUCUCGUUUUUUAGUAUGAAUUUUUUCCUUAGCUGGCUUCUACUCGAUAUGAGAUGUUGUUCAACUAAUUAGUGUGCCAAAUUGCCAAUAGAUAUUUUCCGCUAAAUAAUUGACGAGAGAAUGUGGUCUUAACAUAUACUUGCUUUGUUACAGUCAUUUUCCUACUUCAUAAAAAAAGUUGAAGCACUGAAAAAAUCAAUCAAGGAAAUCAUUUCUGUAUUUUACAAAGGUGCACAAAAUGUGGUAUAAAACACAUGUUCCAAUCUCUAAAACAGUGGACAAUUUCGUUUCUUCAGGAAACUUAUUACAUAAGCUGCUGCAUAGCACCUAUAUGCUAUUUCUUUGGUUUGUUUGGACUUCCAAAACAUUGAAGAUUCAUGAAUCCCCCCAUUCUUAUAAGAUAACUGCUUCAUGGCAUAGGCAAUAUUGAGGUUGGGAUGAAAGUGUAAGAAUAUAGUCGUAUAUAAGAAGCGUAUCUAUGUUUCUUUCUGAUAUGGGAUUAAUUUAUCCUCCCAUCUUUUUCCCUCUGGUCAAUUGAACAGAUAUGCAACAUUACCACAACCUGUUUUUUUUUUUCAAAAUGGUAAUGGUAUGACGCUUACUGGUGGUUUGAUGGAUCCUUUUCUGCACUAUUGGUUCAGUGGUAUAUGGUAUGAUGCUUACUGAUGAUUUGAUAGAUCCCUUUCUGCACUACUGGUUUAGUGUUAUAAUUUGGUGUGUUAACCUCGAGGUUGUAGAUUUGAAUCUGAGUGCAUCUUCAUUGCGCACAUAUUGCCUAGUGUUAGAUUUUAAUAAAUUCUAGCUUGGCAAGUACCCCAUUGACGAGUACUAAUGUCGGAGGAAACUCUAACACCAACAGAUGCUGAUAGCCCCGAGCCUUAACCUCAACCAAAGUCAUGCAAUAAGUAAUAUCGUAUCAACCUUCUCAAUCUCCGACCUCGGACCAAUUUUCUUUCAGUAACUUUUGCAUUAACUAGCCAAGUGCUUUCACCCCACCGAAAAAUAUAGUGGUUAAGGCUCUCUUUCUAAGCAAUGCCCUCUUGAGAUUGAAAGAAAUGCCAAUGCGAAAAUAUUUGAUAAAAUAGAGCAAGUUGCUCGUCAACGGAAGUACCCUGUGUUAGAGCUUACCUCUUUAAUGAUUGCUGGCCCAUAUGGUAUGGAAGCAAGAAAUGAUUUUAGAUCUGUUCGGAGGAGUAUUGAAUGGUCAGAGGAGUAUUCCUGAGAGUCUAUCUGAGGAAUGGUCAUCACUCUACUCGUGUGUGUUUUUAAGAGCAAGAGAGAGAAACCACUUACGUCUGGUUUUCCAUAGCCUCAAAGGAAAACUAGUGGUGAUAUUCAUAUAACUCUUGGAUCCAACAAGCUUAUACUCUAAUGGAUCCAACUAUGUCAUUUAUAUUUUUGUGAUUUCCGCUUGAAGCUUGAUUUGUGAAAAACAUGAUAGUUCUAGAUAUUGGAUUAAAAGCGUGUUUCAAUAUGUAACUCCAUUAAGAAAAUACUUAUAGCAUGUAACCUUGUCUAUGUCCACUCCUCCAACCCUUUCAAGUAGAAUGAAAAUUCAGCACAGAUAUUUAUAAAAUUUAUAGGUGGACAUCGUAAUUCACAGAAUGUUUGCAGUAUCGCUGGAACAACAAACUGAAAGACUUUGCAUUCUCCAUAUAAUAUGCAAAUUUUUCCACGGCAAAGUGGAAAGGUAACCAGACCAUCAUGAUACCUUUGAUCAUAACUGAACCGGAUGUCCUAAAAAUAGUCUCCACAUGCCUUCUAUUUCUCAAACGAAGCUUGAAGAAUCACCUUGUUCAAUCAAUUGAUUUUCUUACAACUUUAUUGGGUGAGAAACAGAAUGUAGCCAAUGCAAUCCAACAAUUCUAUGUAUAGAAUCUCAAAAAAUCUGGCACUUAAUCUGUCAACAUUAACGAACUUUGGCAUUCGAAAAAUGAUGUCUUGAUUGAUGAGCAGGAAGUGAGUCAGGAACCUUGUCUUCAUUCUUUGAUAGUAGUUCAGAAUUGCAGGAAGGACUGUCAAUUCCUUAAUGCUUAUGUACGUUUUUCUUUUCAUUGUGUUGUAUGAAUCUUUUUUCCUUCUCUUUUUCUUGCACCAUGAUCCAUAUAUUUUAAGAAACAAUGCAAAGCAUUUUUUCAUGUCUUUAGAUCCACCUUGAUCUAGUCUCUAUAAAACUAGAAUCUUAUGUACAUACUACAUAAGCUGCUUUUUUGAGACACCAUUUUUCGAAAUACAGUAUUGUUGUUCGAUAAUCGAUCUCCUUUACAAGAUGCUUGUUUUGAUGAACUGUGAUUAUGAUACACAGGAAGUAAAAAUUCAGUGAAUGGUUGGUAAUUUUAGUGAUUGCAUGGGAUACCUUUUUUACGAAAUUCGCUUAUAUUGCAAGAUCAAUCCACUUUAACGAUUGUUGCUAGAUGAGGUGUGAUUCCCAUAGCAAAUAGAAUGCGCAAGUCAGAUGGUAUUGUUGUUAAAAGAGUGUGGACACAAUGACUAAAUGGGGCCAAGGAUGCAAUUACAAAGAUGUAAAUUGCGUAAUAUUUGGUUGAUCCUCUGAUGUUUGGAGACUCUUGAUUGUAUUUUCACAUGGAGCAGCAGCUGCUGUGUUUGGUUUCCUUGUGAGUAUGGUAUCUUUGGGUUGGAUAAUUUUGAAGACGGGGGUUCUUCAUGUCCCAUCUAGGUGCAAUGCUAUAAUUUGAUCAAAAUCACCUUGUUGGAGUCAUUGGACAGGAAAAUACUUUCAAACUUUGUUUUGUGAACUCGAGUACAAGUGUUGAGUGCAAGUAUGCGCCUCAGUGUCAGUUUCAUUUGGUUCUAAUUUCAAGUGUUGCAUUCAUGUCUCUAUGCUUACUGUUGGAAAAAGGAAAGAAAAGGGAGAAGAUAGGGGGUAGAAAAUCGAACUAAACGGGUGUGAAAUUUAUGACCUCCUACUCGGGGAAAAACACGUCUAAAACUAAAUACUCAGACUUAGAAGUGUCUGUUUGUUGAAAUAUGAAAGUAACUCAAGCUAAAUGCUAUUUAUUUGGCCUUGCCAUCCCCAAAACAUUCAAAACAAAUUUAACAUUUCUCUAGCACAUGCUAACAUUGGUGAGUCCACCUGAGAAGAUGAAGGAAAUGUUCAUAGCCACUCUAGUCAGCAUAGCUUCCACCUCUAGUUGGUUUUUACCCCUUUUCUUCUGCAGCAAAUGAAAGGAAGAUCUUUUUUUUAUCAAUUUUAUUUGUUUUUUUUUUUUUUUGGAUGCCUACCAAGGUGAAAUUUGACGAAUACAACUUGGAUUCUGAGGAAAUGAAGAGGCAAUCGGCUUGUCGAACUUUUAUCCAACUUGCAGGUCACUUUUGGUUAUCUGACGUUCUCACCUUUGUAUAGCUUAUUGAGUGUUCAAUGCUAGCUUAGUUAGAGCAAUUCGAGCUAUUGAAAUGUUUCCCAACCCAUCUUUGCGUGUACAUUGCAUUGGGCAUUUUAUAAUUUGACUAUGUUUCUCUUAUUUGUGCUUCAAGUUGAUGGGUGCAUGUUGCUUAUGAAUCGAAAUAGGUGUGGUAACUUCUUCCAUUGUAUAUGUUUUGGAGCUUACCAAACGCUGGGGUAAACAUGAAAUCCGCAUGGGAAUGAAAAUUGUAUACAUGUUUGAUGGAGGGACCAUAGAGUUGUACAAAAUGCUGCUCAUCCAACCUAAAGAGGACACCUUUCUCAUUCUUUUUUUUGAUAACUAGGUAUCCGUGCCAGUUGCGCGCACCCCGAGUAAUCCUAGGCCCUGAAGUUGAUGACUGGGCAAACCCUCUAGUGGCCCCCAAAGGGGCUCAUAACACCUAGGAGGUUUCGAACUUGAGAUCUUAUUAGGGAGCAAACCUCUAAAGAGACACCUUGUAUAUGAGAUUAUAGGAGUUUGUAAGGACAUGAAAGUUCCUCAAAUUCCAAGCACAAUUAAGAGAGCUGAAGCCAUAUUUUGACGAAAGAUCUGCUGUAGCAUGGCCUUGGCAGCUAUGUAAACAAAAGAAAACUGGGGACUGGGGAAAGAGUAACUCAAAGUUUGGAACCAGUUUCUAAUGUUAUGUUAAGUUGCAGAAAUUUUGAAUGAUAUGAAGGUUUCUAUUCUGGAACUGACAUGAAAUUGUGGGUUAAUAUAUGUUGUCUUACAUUACUGGUUUUUUCAUCCAUUUACUUCUUUGAGCUGCCGGGUCCGUAAAGCGGUAAAAGGGCGGUAUCGCUAAUGAUGCUGUGAAUGCUUCUAUUUGGGACUGACUUGUAGUGCGAUCUAAACUUGCUGUGAUCUAUUUAGAACUGACUUGCAUUUUGAUCUAACUUGGAGAAAUAUAGCCAGCAAUUAUGAGUGAAUGUGAUUUGUGAUAGACAAGCUACUUCGCAAGAAGGAUGAUGAAGGCAAGUUGACGCAGCAAGCUGGAGCUAUGAAAGGCUCUCCGCCAAUCCUUAUUGAUUGAUUCAGGCUCUCAUCUUCCUUUCUUUCUGAUAUGAAUGAAACCCCUUGAAAAAUAAGAAAGGAGGCAUAAUCAGAAGGCUGUGGGGGCAUUGGCUGGAUUAGGGGACAAAUAUCGGGCAUCUUAUAGUGUUGGUGAUUGAAUGGGAGACUCUAAAUGCGACAUACAUUUUAUAUUGGUAGAUGAAUCCCCGCAUAACGGUAUUCGGAUGAUAUGUGAUUGAAAGAAAUGAACUAGAGAUUGUAUUAUUUUUCAUAUUGAGCAACUAUGUUUGAAUUCCUUCUUGUGUGUGAAUCUUAAUUGGUACAGACUGAUGUGUGUUGCUCACCAGAUACUGUGCUAUUUUGGCUUGAGUGGAUUCUAAUGGGUCUCGGAUGGGCAUUUUGUUGUCUUCCUCCUUACUCCUUUUAGUCUUUGUAUUUCUCAAAGAUUAAUAAAAAUAUUUUUGCUGUUCAAAAAAAAAAA